rnacentral:rRNA from 1 species
GACGUAGGGUGCGAGCGUUGUCCGGAAUUAUUGGGCGUAAAGAGCUCGUAGGCGGUUUGUCACGUCUGCUGUGAAAUCCCGAGGCUCAACCUCGGGCCUGCAGUGGGUACGGGCAGACUGGAGUGCGGUAGGGGAGAAUGGAAUUCCUGGUGUAGCGGUGGAAUGCGCAGAUAUCAGGAGGAACACCGAUGGCGAAGGCAGUUCUCUGGGCCGUAACUGACGCUGAGGAGCGAAAGCGUGGGGAGCGAACAGG